rnacentral:pre_miRNA from 1 species
CAACUACUCCCUCUGUCCCAAAUUUCUUGUCUUAGAUUUGUCUAGAUACGGAUGUAUCUAAUACUAAAAUGUGACUUGAUACAUCCGUAUCUAGACAAAUCUAAGACAAGAAUUUUCAGACGGAGGGAGUACUUU